UACGGGGGGAGCAAGCGUUGUUCGGAUUUACUGGGCGUAAAGGGCGCGUAGGCGGUCGUGACAAGUCACUUGUGAAAUCUCCGGGCUUAACUCGGAACGGUCAAGUGAUACUGUCGGACGUAGAGUACAGAAGGGGCAACUGGAAUUCUCGGUGUAGCGGUGAAAUGCGUAGAUAUCGAGAGGAACACCUGCGGCGAAGGCGGGUUGCUGGGCUGAUACUGACGCUGAGGCGCGAAAGCCAGGGGAGCGAACGGG
rnacentral:rRNA from 1 species